GCAUUUUUGCCAUAUAUCUCUUGUUAAUUGUUCCUUGCUAUGGUGGUGCAGAUCCCCAAUAGAUCUCCCCUAGAAAAUGUCGGGUGUAAAUCUCUCCAUAUAGAGUCAACCCCAUAAGCAGAAAGUGUCUUUUGUCUGUCCUUCUGCAGUUCCCCACUGAGAUAUAUCCUCGUGGAUGACGGUUUCUUCCGUUUCCUCCCAACAUAUAUAUUGGGAUGGAUUUUCCUAUUUGAGUUACAUCCUCAUUAGGACGUCUUUUGAUUCAGUCUGUCCUUUCGGAUUAUUCCCGAAUUGGCUAUUUGUCAAAUGUCUUGUGUUUCCCAGUGGGUUGUUCCCCAGCG
rnacentral:lncRNA from 1 species